GGUAGUACAGGGGGGGCAAGCGUUGUUCGGAAUUACUGGGCGUAAAGGGCGCGUAGUCGGCCAGCUAAGUCGGACGUGAAAUCCCUCGGCUCAACCGGGGAACUGCGUCCGAUACUGGUGGGCUUGAGUUCAGGAGAGGAAUGUGGAAUUCCAGGUGUAGCGGUGAAAUGCGUAGAUAUCUGGAGGAACACCGGUGGCGAAGGCGGCAUUCUGGACCGACACUGACGCUGAGGCGCGAAAGCCAGGGGAGCAAACG
rnacentral:rRNA from 1 species